ACAGCCACAUGGUAAAAUCUGCGAUACAUCUAAGAAUGGCAGUGCCACUUCCACUUCUGUCCCCUCACAGCCAUGCCUUUAUGACUGAGUCAUCCCAAGGGCCUCUGCAGGGGACUGGUGCAAGAACACUAUAGAUACUAUUAUGCACAGUCACUCAAGCCCCUUUGCCUUUUUGUGGAGCUUGGGACAGAACCCAGGGCCUUUAGCAUGGUAGGAAAAUAUGGCAGGUUCUACCAACUUUGAGAACUUUGAACUCUCUCACACUGCUGGUGAGAAUAUGAAAAACAACUUGGGAAACGUUUCAAGGUUCUUCACAUGAUAGGAAAAAGCAAGACCGAAGGACCACAUGGCACAGGAUUCCAUUUAUAUGAAGUCUCCAGAAAAGGCAAAUCCAUUAACAUA
rnacentral:lncRNA from 1 species